GACGAACGCUGGCGGCGUGCCUAAUACAUGCAAGUCGAGCGGACUUAAAAGGAGCUUGCUCCUUUUAAGUUAGCGGCGGACGGGUGAGUAACACGUGGGCAACCUGCCCUAUAGUUUGGGAUAACUCCGGGAAACCGGGGCUAAUACCGAAUAAUACAUUUUAACUCCUGUUAGAAUGUUGAAAGAUGGUUUACGCUAUCGCUAUAGGAUGGGCCCGCGGCGCAUUAGCUAGUAGGUGAGGUAACGGCUCACCUAGGCGACGAUGCGUAGCCGACCUGAGAGGGUGAUCGGCCACACUGGGACUGAGACACGGCCCAGACUCCUACGGGAGGCAGCAGUAGGGAAUCCUCCACAAUGGACGAAAGUCUGAUGGAGCAACGCCGCGUGAGUGAAGAAGGUUUUCGGAUCGUAAAACUCUGUUGCAAGGGAAGAACAAGUGCAGUAGUAACUGGCUGCACCUUGACGGUACCUUAUUAGAAAGCCACGGCUAACUACGUGCCAGCAGCCGCGGUAA
rnacentral:rRNA from 1 species